UAGUAUGGACGGCCGCAAAGGCAAGGUUCGAUUUAGGAACCUGAAGCUCGUCAAAGUUCUGUUCUGUAAGUGUACAUAUUGACAUCUGGUAGAAAUUGACUGUUUCUUGAAACUUAAGGCGCGCCCAUUUCUUUUAGCGACUGCUCGGCGGAAACGCCACCACAAAGACUGCACGGUAGACGACGUGCUCUACCACAUAAAGGAGUGGCUGCGCAGGGCAAAAGAAAGGUGUGCAGCCACUGCGAAGAAAGACUGAAAGUAUGCUGUACAGAAACCAGACGAUACUUCCGUGCAGGACCACGAUGGUGCUUAAUUAGCUCUACAAAAGUGGAAAAUAAAGUCUUUUUCAAUUGUGGAA
rnacentral:lncRNA from 1 species